GUGGGGAAUAUUGGACAAUGGGGGGAACCCUGAUCCAGCCAUGCCGCGUGGAGGAAGACUGCCCUCUGGGUUGUAAACUCCUUUUAUAUGGGAAGAACCGUCCUCAUUAAUGAGUGACCUGACGGUACCAUAGGAAUAAGCACCGGCUAACUACGUGCCAGCAGCCGCGGUAAGACGUAGGGUGCAAGCGUUAAUCGGAAUUACUGGGCGUAAAGCGUGCGCAGGCGGUUUUGUAAGACAGGUGUGAAAUCCCCGGGCUCAACCUGGGAACUGCACUUGUGACUGCAAGGCUAGAGUGUGUCAGAGGGAGGUGGAAUUCCGCGUGUAGCAGUGAAAUGCGUAGAGAUGCGGAGGAACACCGAUGGCGAAGGCAGCCUCCUGGGAUAACACUGACGCUCAGGCACGAAAGCGUGGGGAGCAAACAGGAUUAGAAACCCUUGUAGUCC
rnacentral:rRNA from 1 species